UACGAAGGGGGCUAGCGUUGCUCGGAAUCACGUGGCGUAAAGCGCACGUAGGCGGAUUGCUAAGUCAGGGGUGAAAUCCUGGAGCUCAACUCCAGAACUGCCUUUGAUACUGGCGAUCUCGAGUCCGGGAGAGGUGAGUGGAACUGCGAGUGUAGAGGUGAAAUUCGUAGAUAUUCGCAAGAACACCAGUGGCGAAGGCGGACUCACU
rnacentral:rRNA from 1 species